rnacentral:rRNA from 1 species
GUAGUCUCGCACAGAUGCAUAUCAAUAAGCGGAGGAAAAGAAACUAACAAGGAUUCCCCUAGUAACGGCGAGUGAAGCGGGAAGAGCUCAAAUUUGAAAUCUUAAAGGGUUUCCCUUUACGAAUUGUAGUUUAAAGAAGUGUUUUCUGUUGAGGUUUUGGUAAAAGUUCUUUGGAAUAGGACAUCAUAGAGGGAUGAGAAUCCCGUAUUUGACCUUUACUUUCAACUUUGUGAUACACUUUCAAAGAGUCGGAUUGUUUGGGAAUGCAGUCCAAAAUGGGUGGUAAAUUUCAUCUAAAGCUAAAUAUUGGCGAGAGACCGAUAGCGAACAAGUACCGUGAGGGAAAGAUGAAAAGAACUUUGAAAGGAGAGUUAAACAGUACGUGAAGUUGUCAAAAGGGAAGCGUUUGACACCAGUGUUGUUUUUCUGAAAAUCAAUUAAAGAACUGUUUAUGCUAAGUUGUUUAGACUUUAUCAGCUAUCUGUUUAGUUUUGAGCUUUUCUUUAAUGCACUUUUCAGUUAACAAGUCAACAUCAAUUUCUUUUGCUGUAAAAAAGCUUGAGGAAGGUGGCUUGAGAUUCGUCUUAAGUGUUUAUAGCCUCUUGCCUAUGCAGUCGGAGAGAUUGAGGUCUGCAGCGUAGAUCCUUCGGGGCUAAAUGCAUUUGUGCUAAGUUAUAGCAUUUCAUAGACAACUUGUUGACUAUGAUUUGUCUUGUAGCUUACUCGCUUAUGUUAUUUUACCUACGCUUAGGAUGUUGAUCUGUAGUGCGUGCGC